rnacentral:rRNA from 1 species
UUAAGUUAUUAAGGGCGCACGGUGGAUGCCUUGGCACUAGAAGCCGAUGAAGGACGUUACUAACGACGAUAUGCUUUGGGGAGCUGUAAGUAAGCUUUGAUCCAGAGAUUUCCGAAUGGGGAAACCCAGCAUGAGUUAUGUCAUGUUAUCGAUAUGUGAAUACAUAGCAUAUCAGAAGGCACACCCGGAGAACUGAAACAUCUUAGUACCCGGAGGAAGAGAAAGAAAAUUCGAUUCCCUUAGUAGCGGCGAGCGAAACGGGAAGAGCCCAAACCAAAAAGCUUGCUUGUUGGGGUUGUAGGACACUCUAUACGGAGUUACAAAGGACGACAUUAGACGAAUCAUCUGGAAAGAUGAAUCAAAGAAGGUAAUAAUCCUGUAGUCGAAAAUGUUGUCUCUCUUGAGUGGAUCCUGAGUACGACGGAGCACGUGAAAUUCCGUCGGAAUCUGGGAGAACCAUCUCCUAAGGCUAAAUACUCUCUAGUGACCGAUAGUGAACCAGUACCGUGAGGGAAAGGUGAAAAGCACCCCGGAAGGGGAGUGAAAUAGAACCUGAAACCGUGUGCUUACAAGUAGUCAGAGCCCGUUAAUGGGUGAUGGCGUGCCUUUUGUAGAAUGAACCGGCGAGUUACGAUUUGAUGCAAGGUUAAGCAGUAAAUGUGGAGCCGUAGCGAAAGCGAGUCUGAAUAGGGCGUUUAGUAUUUGGUCGUAGACCCGAAACCAGGUGAUCUACCCUUGGUCAGGUUGAAGUUCAGGUAACACUGAAUGGAGGACCGAACCGACUUACGUUGAAAAGUGAGCGGAUGAACUGAGGGUAGCGGAGAAAUUCCAAUCGAACCUGGAGAUAGCUGGUUCUCUCCGAAAUAGCUUUAGGGCUAGCCUCAAGUGAUGAUUAUUGGAGGUAGAGCACUGUUUGGACGAGGGGCCCCUCUCGGGUUACCGAAUUCAGACAAACUCCGAAUGCCAAUUAAUUUAACUUGGGAGUCAGAACAUGGGUGAUAAGGUCCGUGUUCGAAAGGGAAACAGCCCAGACCACCAGCUAAGGUCCCAAAAUAUAUGUUAAGUGGAAAAGGAUGUGGCGUUGCCCAGACAACUAGGAUGUUGGCUUAGAAGCAGCCAUCAUUUAAAGAGUGCGUAAUAGCUCACUAGUCGAGUGACACUGCGCCGAAAAUGUACCGGGGCUAAACAUAUUACCGAAGCUGUGGAUUGUCCUUUGGACAAUGGUAGGAGAGCGUUCUAAGGGCGUUGAAGCAUGAUCGUAAGGACAUGUGGAGCGCUUAGAAGUGAGAAUGCCGGUGUGAGUAGCGAAAGACGGGUGAGAAUCCCGUCCACCGAUUGACUAAGGUUUCCAGAGGAAGGCUCGUCCGCUCUGGGUUAGUCGGGUCCUAAGCUGAGGCCGACAGGCGUAGGCGAUGGAUAACAGGUUGAUAUUCCUGUACCACCUAUAAUCGUUUUAAUCGAUGGGGGGACGCAGUAGGAUAGGCGAAGCGUGCGAUUGGAUUGCACGUCUAAGCAGUAAGGCUGAGUAUUAGGCAAAUCCGGUACUCGUUAAGGCUGAGCUGUGAUGGGGAGAAGACAUUGAGUCUUCGAGUCGUUGAUUUCACACUGCCGAGAAAAGCCUCUAGAUAGAAAAUAGGUGCCCGUACCGCAAACCGACACAGGUAGUCAAGAUGAGAAUUCUAAGGUGAGCGAGCGAACUCUCGUUAAGGAACUCGGCAAAAUGACCCCGUAACUUCGGGAGAAGGGGUGCUCUUUAGGGUUAACGCCCAGAAGAGCCGCAGUGAAUAGGCCCAAGCGACUGUUUAUCAAAAACACAGGUCUCUGCUAAACCGUAAGGUGAUGUAUAGGGGCUGACGCCUGCCCGGUGCUGGAAGGUUAAGAGGAGUGGUUAGCUUCUGCGAAGCUACGAAUCGAAGCCCCAGUAAACGGCGGCCGUAACUAUAACGGUCCUAAGGUAGCGAAAUUCCUUGUCGGGUAAGUUCCGACCCGCACGAAAGGCGUAACGAUUUGGGCACUGUCUCAACGAGAGACUCGGUGAAAUCAUAGUACCUGUGAAGAUGCAGGUUACCCGCGACAGGACGGAAAGACCCCGUGGAGCUUUACUGUAGCCUGAUAUUGAAAUUCGGCACAGCUUGUACAGGAUAGGUAGGAGCCUUUGAAACGUGAGCGCUAGCUUACGUGGAGGCGCUGGUGGGAUACUACCCUAGCUGUGUUGGCUUUCUAACCCGCACCACUUAUCGUGGUGGGAGACAGUGUCAGGCGGGCAGUUUGACUGGGGCGGUCGCCUCCUAAAAGGUAACGGAGGCGCUCAAAGGUUCCCUCAGAAUGGUUGGAAAUCAUUCAUAGAGUGUAAAGGCAUAAGGGAGCUUGACUGCGAGACCUACAAGUCGAGCAGGGUCGAAAGACGGACUUAGUGAUCCGGUGGUUCCGCAUGGAAGGGCCAUCGCUCAACGGAUAAAAGCUACCCCGGGGAUAACAGGCUUAUCUCCCCCAAGAGUUCACAUCGACGGGGAGGUUUGGCACCUCGAUGUCGGCUCAUCGCAUCCUGGGGCUGUAGUCGGUCCCAAGGGUUGGGCUGUUCGCCCAUUAAAGCGGUACGCGAGCUGGGUUCAGAACGUCGUGAGACAGUUCGGUCCCUAUCCGUCGUGGGCGUAGGAAAUUUGAGAGGAGCUGUCCUUAGUACGAGAGGACCGGGAUGGACAUACCUCUGGUGUACCAGUUGUCGUGCCAACGGCAUAGCUGGGUAGCUAUGUGUGGACGGGAUAAGUGCUGAAAGCAUCUAAGCAUGAAGCCCCCCUCAAGAUGAGAUUUCCCAACUUCGGUUAUAAGAUCCCUCAAAGAUGAUGAGGUUAAUAGGUUCGAGGUGGAAGCAUGGUGACAUGUGGAGCUGACGAAUACUAAUCGAUCGAAGACUUAAUCAA